rnacentral:rRNA from 1 species
AGGGCACCACCAGGAGUGGAGCCUGCGGCUUAAUUUGACUCAACACGGGAAAUCUCACCAGGCCCGGACACCGGUAGGAUUGACAGAUUGAGAGCUCUUUCUUGAUUCAGUGGGUGGUGGUGCAUGGCCGUUCUUAGUUGGUGGAGCGAUUUGUCUGGUUAAUUCCGAUAACGAACGAGACUCUAGCCUACUAAAUAGAUCGUCGGCUUACAAACGCUGAUGAGACUUCUUAGAGGGACAGGCGGCGAUUCAGCCGCACGAAACAGAGCAAUAACAGGUCUGUGAUGCCCUUAGAUGUCCGGGGCCGCACGCGCGCUACACUGAAGUGAUCAGCGUGCAUUUUCAGCCUACUCUGCCAAGAGUGGGAAACCCAAUGAACCUUCUUCGUGAUUGGGAUAGGAGAUUGUAAUUAUUCUCCUUGAACGAGGAAUUCCCAGUAAGCGCGAGUCAUAAGCUCGCGUUGAUUACGUCCCUGCCCUUUGUACACACCGCCCGUCGCUACUACCGAUUGAAUGUUUU